rnacentral:rRNA from 3 species
AUCCUUUGACCACUCUAGAGAUAGAGCUUCCCCUUCGGGGGCAAAGUGACAGGUGGUGCAUGGUUGUCGUCAGCUCGUGUCGUGAGAUGUUGGGUUAAGUCCCGCAACGAGCGCAACCCUUAUUGUUAGUUGCCAUCAUUUAGUUGGGCACUCUAGCGAGACUGCCGGUGACAAACCGGAGGAAGGUGGGGAUGACGUCAAAUCAUCAUGCCCCUUAUGACCUGGGCUACACACGUGCUACAAUGGGAAGUACAACGAGUCGCGAAGUCGCGAGGCUAAGCUAAUCUCUUAAAGCUUCUCUCAGUUCGGAUUGUAGGCUGCAACUCGCCUACAUGAAGCCGGAAUCGCUAGUAAUCGCGGAUCAGC